AUAAAAGGUGAAAAGCAGCUAGGUUUAGUUGUCAUAAUUUAUUAAAGAAGUUAAAGAUGUUAACUAUCUAAAUACACAUAGAUUUGCGGUCACGCACACGUCAAUAUGUUCAUCAAAUAUCAAACUGCGACAUUAACUUUGAAGAAGGCCUCUCUUAAAACUGACUUCAGGCUUCAGCAACUUUUAACUGUAACAGUUAGCCGGCGAGCUAACUUGCUAGCGGCUAACCAACCGCUAGUCAACUAUCAAACAGUGGUACAGUGGGACAUGACUAUCACCUGGAUGCUCAUCAGUUAACCCCCAUGAAACGCAGCUCAGUGGGUGCCGACAUCAAGGAAGGGUCACAGGGCGGCUGGAGCCAAUCCCAGCUGACAGUGGUUUCGCUCUCACCGAAACAACUUUCCGGCUGUCUGUCACAGAAGUUCAGGUUGCCUAGCAACAGGGUCGAGCUUGUCGCAGCGGGUUGCCACAAUGACAGUCGCUAGGCGGGAGCCCGGCAACAAAGACAUCAGUCAAGUGUGGAGCCUGCAUUCCUGUCUUGACAUUGCUUUGGCUGCUGAGAGAUGUUAAGGCUAUAGGACUGGCUGUGCACUGACAUCUGACAUCGACAGAAAAAACAUUCCCUCUCACUGAGGUAUCCUGCUUUAACAUGUACUCGAGUCUCCAGUGUUUCUCCCAUGAUUGAAGCCCGAGCACAACAGUGAGCAGUGGUGAUUAAGCCAGUAUGUGUGCGGUUAAUAGAGUGCAGGAGCCAAGCAGCGGUAGGACAAUAGCAGGAAGAGACCACAGGGAGGGGGCUGCCGGUCACCAUGACCCCCUGGAUAUUGUUCUGCUGCCCACCAACAUUUGAAGGAUGGAGGGGUGGAGUGAAGGACGACGUGAGGACGGGAGGAAAGACGGACGGAGCGUGUAGAAGGUGGUCAGAGGAGAAGAGGAAAACAGAAACAGCAAAUAGGAAGAACCGAAGGGAGACGAGGUAAAAGAUGAGAGAAAAGACGUGCAGCAGACAGGCGAGUGUGUUUGAUGUGAGCAGAAACAUGCGGGAAGAGUGAACGUGUGUGAGUAAAUACUGUGAGUGGAAUGCAGACACAUUGACAGCUGACAGACAGCCUGAAAAGCCCGACCCGCCUCCAGUGUCCCUUCUCAACCGGAGUCCUGCUCUGCGGCACGUACACUUCCAGACAGAGGGGCCAACCAGUCUGUAAUAUCUGAGCUCCAGACUCCUGCUUUGUUCCCCUGCUGGACGGCUUUGUUCACAGACCACAGACCGGAUGUCUCCUAACUGACUGGCCGCUCUCUCCCUCUCUACUUGGUCUAACCCUACCCCCCUUCAGUUCCUUCUCUGGUGCCCUCCAGUCUUGGGAGAUAUUUUGUCAUCGACGCCGUGGAAGCAAAACAGGUCUUUGCUGUAUAUCACUUGUGAAAUGAAAAGCUCUUAAUAUGGACACAGAAUCAUAAAUGUGCCGGAUAUAUGUGCUUGUAUGCAGCCGCAAAUAAAACUGCAUCACUUAGAAGAGGGGUUUGUUCUUGUGUCUGCGUUGUAAAUAUGAAGCUACAGCCAGGCGCCACUUAUAUAACGUGGCAAUGUCGGCCUACAUUUUUGUUGUUGGUCUGUUCUUUUUUUUCUUUUUUUUUCAUUUUUAUUCGCAAACGAGUAAAACCUACGUCAGAGAAACCUUAAUCAGCACUGGAAAAGGAAGU